UGGGGAAUUUUGCACAAUGGGGGAAACCCUGAUGCAGCGACGCCGCGUGAUUUAGAAGGCCUUCGGGUUGUAAAAAUCUUUUGUAUGGGAAGAAAAUGACAGUACCAUACGAAUAAGCGCCGGCUAACUACGUGCCAGCAGCCGCGGUAAUACGUAGGGCGCAAGCGUUAUCCGGAAUUAUUGGGCGUAAAGAGCUUGUAGGCGGUUCGUCGCGUCUGGUGUGAAAGCCCAUCGCUUAACGGUGGGUUUGCGCCGGGUACGGGCGGGCUAGAGUGCAGUAGGGGAGACUGGAAUUCCCGGUGUAACGGUGGAAUGUGUAGAUAUCGGGAAGAACACCAAUGGCGAAGGCAGGUCUCUGGGCUGUUACUGACGCUGAGAAGCGAAAGCGUGGGGAGCGAACAGG
rnacentral:rRNA from 1 species